GAGGUGGGAGGAUUGCUUAAGCCCGGGAAUUUGAGGUUACGGUGAGCUAUGAUGGCACCACUGCACUCCAGCCUGAGUGACAGAGCAAGACCCUGUCUC
rnacentral:miRNA from 1 species